AGCGCUCCUGCUCCGGAAUGCGAGAAUAAUCUGAGCGAGAAAUGCGUGACACGUUCGAGUCAACGACUUCGCUUCUGUCCAAACUGUAGUUCAAUUUUAUCUUUGCUUGGGGAAAAAGGAGUUACAUGUUACACAAUGCAAAAGAGAAUGGGAUGCUGAGAGAAGUUUUUGGCGAUAUGGGAAUGAUACAUGAAAUCCAUUUUAACACCGAAGCAUACUUAUGUAUCUGCCAAAGAAAGCGAGGAUGAUAGUGAAUGAUGUCGAUAGACUAACGAGAAUCUCUUCAGUGUCAUAAUAAUAAAAUGUGUUAUUUAAUUUGUAAUUGAGGUCUACUGACGAAGGACAAACUGUAUUUUUCACAUGUACC